UUAAAUUGAAGAGUUUGAUCAUGGCUCAGAUUGAACGCUGGCGGCAGGCCUAACACAUGCAAGUCGAACGGUAACAGGAAGCAGCUUGCUGCUUUGCUGACGAGUGGCGGACGGGUGAGUAAUGUCUGGGAAACUGCCUGAUGGAGGGGGAUAACUACUGGAAACGGUGGCUAAUACCGCAUAACGUCGCAAGACCAAAGAGGGGGACCUUCGGGCCUCUUGCCAUCAGAUGUGCCCAGAUGGGAUUAGCUAGUUGGUGAGGUAACGGCUCACCAAGGCGACGAUCCCUAGCUGGUCUGAGAGGAUGA
rnacentral:rRNA from 1 species